rnacentral:rRNA from 1 species
UACGUAGGUGGCAAGCGUUGUCCGGAAUUAUUGGGCGUAAAGCGCGCGCAGGCGGUCCUUUAAGUCUGAUGUGAAAGCCCACGGCUCAACCGUGGAGGGUCAUUGGAAACUGGGGGACUUGAGUGCAGAAGAGGAAAGCGGAAUUCCACGUGUAGCGGUGAAAUGCGUAGAUAUCGGGAGGAACACCAGUGGCGAAGGCGUUGCCUGGAGCUUUGCUGACGCUGAGGCGCGAAAGCGUGGGGAGCGAUCCGG